rnacentral:misc_RNA from 1 species
AGACAAUUGUAAAUAUGAGUACAGUACUGUACAGUCAAUGGACAAGUUAGCAGCUGUAGGUGUGGGGGAGAAAUGAUGAAAGUUUUACGAGGUGGCCGCACUCUUCGAUGGCUUAUGAUGCUUCUGGGAUUAGCAAUUUUUUACAUCCUCUUCCAAGGUUUGAUAUUACGCAUUCUUAGCAAGGACUCAAAGAGACGGCUGAAACUAUUGGAGGAGCAGGCUGCGUUGGAAUUUGCUGUGCCCAGAGGUGUUCGCGUGGAAGAUAAAGAAGUCUAUCGUCCUAAGUCAGUACGUGGCUUUCGUUGCCUUGAUGGCUCUAAGUACAUACCGUGGAAAAACAUCAAUGAUGAUUAUUGUGAUUGUACAACUGAUGGUUCUGAUGAACCGGGCACAUCAGCAUGUGAGAAGGGAAGGUUUUUCUGCAUAGGAAAUGGAGAAUAUAUUGUAGCGAGCAGAGUGAAUGAUGGGAUAUGCGAUUGUUGUGAUGGUACUGAUGAAUGGGAUAGGCCGUUCAGCCUUAACAAGGUCAAAGGAAAUCCUGUUGUUGAAGGUUUAGAAAUUUCACCCUGUAGGAAUUUUUGUAAAGACUUGAUUGAUCACAAGUAUGUGAAUGCUCAACAGAGACUUGGUCUGCGACUCAAGAGGAAAUACAUUCUGGCUGGGAAAGAACACACAAAUGGCAUUUAUGGAAAAGAAGGAGAAUUCUACAAGUUGAGUAAAGAAUGCUUCCAGUAUAGUACUGCUAAGAGCAAGUAUGUGGUGUGCCCAUACAGAUAUGUGAGGGAGGAUAAUGGACAGUUCUUUUAUAACAUGGGUCGUAGGACCGUAUUCGAGGGAAAGAAGAAAGAUGGAACUAAUGUCAUUAUGAUGGUGAAUGGUGAUUCCCGGCAUUGUCCUGGAGAAAUACAAAGGAAGACGCAAGUAGAAUAUAUAUGCGGACUCAAUGAUCAUGUAAUCAAUAUUCAUGAGGAAAGACCAUGUAUUUACACCUUACGAUUCAGUACUCCUGCUGGCUGUUAGAGACUCCCAACAAUGGUGCGAGGAAUAUGUGAACAAGCAUGUUUUUACAUGAUUCAGUACUACAUCAUCAAUGGACCAAGUGAGGAAUAUUUCAUGAAGAACAAGAACUUUGACCUGUAUUGGGAAGGAAGACCUUUCCUUUUUACCACCAGAGUCAAAGUUCAUAUUACUGUACUGUAACAACCAGUUAAAUGCGCCCAGCACAAUAUUACUUCUUUUCGUAUCGUGCCAGUUUAUCUUAUGUACUUUAUGCUGUGCACAUUUUUGGUCAGUGUGAUUGCAUCUCUCUCUAUCCAAAUACUGUAUAGCAUGAACGCUGAAUAUGGAUUAUUGUAUAAAGAAUUUAGCACCAAGGGCUUGACAUGAAUCUGAUAACUGACAACAUUCCCAAGUGGAACUGUAUAAGCAGUCACAGAAGAAAUUCACUGUAUGUGAUGUCACUGUAAAGUGAUGUCAUAUACAUUAUGUACCAACGUUUAGAUAUAGUGACAUACUCAUUUUAAAAAUCAUAGUGACAUACUCAUUUUAAAAAUCAUAGUGACAUACUCAUUUAAAAAAUCAUAGUGACAUACUCAUUUUAAAAAUCUUGCUACCUUGAGUAGCACAAAGUUUUUCUAUUUUUGGAUCUAAAAUUCUAUUAAUAAUGUGCAUUUCCAUUCAAACAUACAAAGUACCCAUGUAUAUGCUUAAGUGGAAAGGCGCAACCUUGAUAAAGAAAACAAGGAAGUGGUCAGAUUAAAAUCCUUUGGAUUGCAAGCCCAUAGAUAACAUGGUCGUCCUAUAUCCCCCACGGGCGUAGGCUGGGUGAUGAGAGGGGCGCAACCCCCAUAAUGGCAAAUUAGUUUUACUAAGUGGGUUAGAAUACUAAAUGUGACCAUUAUGUUUUCAUUGGAAUAGGGAUUUAGUUUUACAUUCUCAAUUUUCAUACCCACCCCCACAGGUGGUUUUGCUUUUGUUGAGAAUAUACAAGUAAUAGCAGCUGGUGGUUUGGUGCCAUUGAAAAUGAAACCACUUUAAACAAAUGUUUCUGUAUUGUUAAACACUUUUUUUUAUAUAUAUAUAAUAUUUUAAGUGUGGUCAUGUGUGAAUCUGUAUCAAUUUUUAUACAGGUCUCCCUAUAAUUAAUGAUCCCUCUAAUUAACAAUCCCUCCAAUUAUAGAUAGACCACUUUUCUUUGGUUCCAAAUUAACAAAGGUCUUUUAUAUUUAUUAUUCUAAUUAGUCACCAAAGCUGCUAAAGAUCAUGGAACCACGGUCCCAAAAGUGGUCUUUAAUUGGUGGGAGACCUGUAUACAAUUGUAAUAAGAAUUUGGAUUUGCUUAAUUAACAGUCUUAGCCUUAUUGCCAAUAAAUUUCUGUUUCUUGCCACUUCCUCUGAAAAAGAUAAACUAAUACCGGAGAUGAGCGACCACAAUUAUAUCAUUAUGAUGAUUGUAAGUUAGUCACAUCAUUUUAAGCACAAAAUCAACGUUAUGCUAGUGUGGUAAUUGACAUUGGAAAAUAAUUUAGUACAUUAAGCUGUAAAUCAAAGUUCAUGAAAAUAUGCAUUUUGGGUAUGUGUUUAAUUUGCUGUAAGCGAUGUGGUUUUUACUGGGCCAGUUGAGUAAAGAAAUUAGGGCCUACUAUUUUAGGAACAGCAAUUACAGUACACCUGUACGAAUUACAUGCAGACAGUUGGUGAGUGUGGAGUUCAUUACCUGUACUCUACUGGGAAGCUUUUUUAUUCUGUCUUUUGUAUACAUAGUGUGAAAUUCAAACAUAUUAUUGCCUUUAAAAAAAAAAUCUAUAUUAAGAAUUCAUAAGAUUUAUUAUGUGGUUUGUAAAUAUCAUAUUGAUAUAUUUUUAAUAUUUUUUGUAAAGUGAUGUUGAACAUAUUGAUUUGAUCUAUAGUAUAUAUGAUAAACAAUGUUGACUCUUUAUGAUUUAUUAUUAUUAGUACAUGUUCGAUCAGGGCUGAAAUUGUGUGAUUGUAUUUAUCAAUUAAGGUUGGUUAAUUUAAAAAAAUUUUUGCCAUUAUUUGAAAUAAGGAUUCUCAUUUAAUCUUUAAUUACUGAGAUAGUAGAUUCCGUGCCUGCUACCCUACACAUUUACAUUUGGACACGUUACCUUUUCAGUUUAUGUUGUUUUUAAUGUUAAACAUUGCGCCCAUUUUAGACUCAUCACAUUGUCUUCCAAUUUUGUAGAUUUCCUAAUGGCUUUGACGAUCCAUAUAUUUGUUUUUUUUCACCAUAGAUCUAAUGAAUAUUUUUAGUUUAAUAUAUUUUUUAAUUUUAUAAUUAACAUUAUAUGGACAUUUUUUGUAUGCAUUUUUUUGGCUACAUAAGAUUAAAAAUAGAUUUAGUUCAGCCUACCAGUGAAUUUGGAGCUUGUUUUAAGUCCAAGUUGCCAUAGAAUACUUGUAUUUAAAACAUAAAGGAAAUGUGGACCGUUCACAAUGUAUUGAUCAAAUCAACUAUUGUACAUUUUUUCAGCAAAUACCAUUAUUUUGAACUAUCAUGGUGCUUUAAAUUACUUUGUAUUCGUUAAAAUUAGAUUUAGUACAUACUAACGUUUGUAAAAAUAUUUUGUGAUAUAAUUAUUGGAAAUAAAAAUCUAUGGCAGUACAGUAA